AUUGAACGCUGGCGGCAUGCCUUACACAUGCAAGUCGAACGGCAGCGCGGGAGCAAUCCUGGCGGCGAGUGGCGAACGGGUGAGUAAUACAUCGGAACGUGCCCAAUCGUGGGGGAUAACGCAGCGAAAGCUGUGCUAAUACCGCAUACGAUCUACGGAUGAAAGCAGGGGAUCGCAAGACCUUGCGCGAAUGGAGCGGCCGAUGGCAGAUUAGGUAGUUGGUGAGGGAAAGGCUCACCAAGCCUUCGAUCUGUAGCUGGUCUGAGAGGACGACCAGCCACAGUGGGACUGAGACACGGCCCAGACGCCUACGGGAGGCAGCAGUGGGGAAUUUUGGACAAUGGGCGCAAGCCUGAUCCAGCCAUGCCGCGUGCAGGAUGAAGGCCUUCGGGUUGUAAACUGCUUUUGUACGGAACGAAACGGCUCUUUCUAAUAAAGAGGGCUAAUGACGGUACCGUAAGAAUAAGCACCGGCUAACUACGUGCCAGCAGCCGCCGUAAUAC
rnacentral:rRNA from 1 species